AUUGAGGUGGCAGAGCCCGGUAUUGCAAAAGACCUAAGCCCUUUCAACAGAGGUUCAAAUCCUCUCCUCAAUA
rnacentral:tRNA from 1 species